GCCUCCGUGGCUCAGUGGUAGAGCAGCUGACUUGUAAUCAGCCGGUCGUGGGUUCAAGAGAGCUUUUCAUUGCGCAAGGCUCGGAUAAUCCCACCGGGGGCU
rnacentral:tRNA from 1 species